rnacentral:rRNA from 1 species
UGGGGAAUAUUGCACAAUGGGCGAAAGCCUGAUGCAGCAACGCCGCGUGAGUGAUGAAGGCCUUCGGGUUGCAAAGCUCUGUCUUCUGGGACGAUAAUGACGGUACCAGAGGAGGAAGCCACGGCUAACUACGUGCCAGCAGCCGCGGUAAUACGUAGGUGGCAAGCGUUGUCCGGAUUUACUGGGCGUAAAGGAUGCGUAGGCGGAUACUUAAGUCAGAUGUGAAAAUCCCGGGCUUAACUUGGGAACUGCAUUUGAAACUGGGUAUCUAGAGUGCGGGAGAGGAAAGUGGAAUUCCUAGUGUCGCGGUCAAAUGCGUAGAGAUUAGGAAGAACACCAGUGGCGAAGGCGACUUUCUGGACCGUAACUGACGCUGAGGCAUGAAAGCGUGGGGAGCAAACA